rnacentral:rRNA from 1 species
AACGAACGCUGGCGGCAGGCCUAACACAUGCAAGUCGAACGAACCGUUAUGGUGAGUGGCGCACGGGUGAGUAACACGCGGGAAUAUACUAUUCGGUAAGGAAUAACGUAGAGACAUUUACGCUAAUACGUUAUAAUGACUACGGUCCAAAGAUUUAUCGCCGAAGGAUUAGCCCGCGUUAGAUUAGGAAGUUGGUAGGGUAAUGGACAACCAAGCCUACGAUCUAUAGCUGGUCUUAGAGGAUGAUCAGCCACACUGGAACUGAGACACGGUCCAGACUCCUACGGGAGGCAGCAGUGAGGAAUAUUGCGCAAUGGGGGAAACCCUGACGCAGCCAUGCCGCGUGAGUGACGAAGGCCUUAGGGUUGUAAAGCUCUUUCAGAUGUAAAGAUAAUGACGGUAACAUCAGAAGAAGCUCCGGCUAAAUUCGUGCCAGCAGCCGCGGUAA